CUAUGUCUAGAUAUUAGAUAUGGCGGAAGGAG
rnacentral:ncRNA from 1 species